AGCCUCUUUUCUGGUCCUAAAUAUGUUAAUCCAAGAUGAUGAUUUUAAAUGCCCAGAGCAUUGUUUUCCAGACAAACAGAAAACAUGAUCCCUCCCCUGAUAAUCGUGUGGGCUAAACAAAUGUGACAAGAGACUGCAAAGCCAAAGGGAGUGGGAUAGGACCAGCAUGAAAUGACAAGGACACGACUUUUUGCAGCCAACCAGAAAAGGAGGCAUGGCUGCAUAUUGAUGCGCAACGUGCCCAGCCAUUGAAUUGCAUCAUCAUCAGCCAGGUGAAGAGCCGGUAGCCCACUGUCGAAGUCAGGC
rnacentral:lncRNA from 1 species